UUUAAAUGGAGCUUUUUGAGCACAACCAGCAAUGUUUGUGCUUUCUAAGAGUCACUGACUUGAGAGGAAAGAAAACCAGAAGGUUAAUGCAGUUUGGAUAUUAAAUUCUUAGCAAAAUUAAUAAUUAAAGCAAAAUUAAUUAAGAUUUUGUAAGUCAUCCUGUCUUCACAUACUCAGAUCUUCCAAUAGUGGCUUAUUUUGCAAGAUGCCACAAUAUCUACACAGAAAAUUGUGGCUAUUUCAUUAUUGCUAUAGAUUUCAAAUCCAACACAAAUAUUUAAGGGUGUUUAAGUUAUAUUUUUCUUGAUAGAGGGUAUGCUUUGUGACAAAAUUAGAUUUUUGUCCUUGAAAGGAUUAAUAUUAGCAUCAGUUAUGUAUAGCUCUAUUUUUCUAGAAACAAGGUAUUCUGACUACUUUUAUAGCUGACUACUUUUGGGAUGGCUACGUUUUGGGAUUUAAAAUAGUUCAUUGUUUAAUGGGUUGUAAGAGGAAAAAGUGUUAGGAUUUGACAGUUACUUUUUAAAGGGAUGAUCUUUUGUGGUGUGUGUUUUUCCUAGUAUAAGCCUAUUGCUGGCGAUGGGCCUAUUUAAGAACAGCUGAUUUUUUCCAGUGAAAAUAUGGUAAUUUUAGGAACACAGUUUGUAAGUUCACAUUUACUAUAAUGGGCCAAAACCAUAACCUGCCAGUUUGCAAUACAUCUUGAUCUUUUAAUAUUCUUAUCUGAUAUUGUGUAAUUCAAUUCCUAAACUGAUAGUUACCUUGAAUUUUGCGAAAAGGUUUGGGUGGUUUUUUUUAAACAUGAAAUUGAGGGAUCUCAUCUGGGCGAACAAGAAGAGAAAGCUGUGAAUUGUACUGUAUCAUGUACAUUCCUGAUUUAAUACUUUACAGAACAUUUUAUUCAGAUAUCAAUUUGUUACAUAAACAUUUCAGCAAUGAUACAAAGAUAACUGAUAAAAUAUAUUACAUUCAAUGAGGUUUUCUUUACAAAUGCUCUACUUGAGGUCUGUGUCUUAAAGAUGGCAUGACACCUAAGUACAAGACAUCAACUGAAUGAGGAUUUUAAAAAAUGGUAUAUAAGCAUAGGACAAGGGCUAUGUUUGUUUGUUUUUCAAAAGUGCUUUGAAGAUAACAGCCUUUAGGUUUGAGUUAUUUCACUUUUCAUAAUUUUUAAGUAGCUUAUAUAUAAUGGUGGUACCAUAGGAUUUUCUUUUUUCAAAUGACUGUCGGCAGAAACAGUGGGCACUGACUCACCUUUUGAGUUUUAGCAGAGAAUUAUUUAUUUCUUUACAAUGCACUUUCUAACCCAUUGUAGCUAUAUUAGCAUUAUCUUUUAAAAAAGACAUGCUUUUGUAUUUAAAUAUUGUAGGAUUUAAGUGUCUUUCUCAAAAUAGCUUAUUCCUUUCUGAAAGAAAAUGAGGGAAAUACUCUGAAUUAUUAGGAGACUUAAACCCAAUAUUUAAAUAUGCUAUUUUAUAACACUGCAUCAGUUUUAGGAGUUGCAUCUCUCCUGCUGGCUCUUUUAUAUUUGAGCAAGAUCAGUGUAGAAUAUGUGUUUAGAAACUUGUCUGUUGUCUCAGUUUAGUGAAAAGGAGGUGCUGCAUGUGCCUGAAUUAAAACCAAGAAAUUUUUCCAAGCCAAAUGCAGCCUUAGUGAUGAGAGAUUUAAUUCUCCAUUGUCACCUUUUAGCUUUUAUGAUUGCUUAGUUUUUUCUGAAGGAUGUCUGCAUUGUAAAACUAUGGACUAAAACCUAAAAAACAGAAUCCUCAAAAACUUUGCUGUAUGUGUUUUAACAUUUUAGAGAACAGUAUGUUGAAUAACUAAGGUAUGUAACUUGAAUAGGAAAAAUGUCCAUCAAAUGCACCUUGGAAAAUCACAGUAGGUAGAAGGCUGUGUUAACCGUUUGUGUCUUAUUAACAUCCUUAAGUUAAUUUUGAAUUUUUGACAGUUUUGAGGGAAAAGACCUAUGGAACCUAAUGUGAAGUAUUUCGUAUGUUAACUGGUGUUGAGUUGAAGAUUUUUACUGUGUAUAAGCAGAUAUCAUUUGAAUGAUAAAAAUGUCAUUAACCUGCUGUCUUAAGAUGUUCACACAAAUAUGGAGAGUAAUUCUACAAUAUAAAAAUAUUUAUUUUAAUACUGAGUUUCAGUUAAGUCAUAAACAGUGUUAAAACUCUUGGGAAGGUGUAGGGGUUUUUUGUUUGUCAUUUUUAAAAUUGAAACUGUGUCAUACAGUGUUUCACGUCUCUGAAAUUGGGAUUAUAAUAGCACUAUUUUGAUGUAGCUCUACCGAUACUAUGUGGUAAUGCUAUUUUGUUUUACUAACAAGCUCUGGAAUAUUUAGCAGUCAUUUUCACUGGCACAAGAGCCUUUUGUAUGUUAUUCAAUUUAAACUUUUAAACCAAAAAUUUUAUGGUCCAGUGUCUUUGGCAAAAAGAUGCUGGAGGGAAUGUAACAUACAAUUAAUAUGUGGUUAUAUAUAUAUAUAAAAAGACACAAAUUGCCAUGUUAUGGUUCUGCCUUGAAACAGCACAAUGAAGUGUAUCAGUAUAUUCUGUGAUUAUGAAACUUAUAUGUUGUGUUGUUUUGUGUCUUCUGUUGCCUGUCCUUUGGGCCAGAUGUGGGCCAGUUAAAUGCAGUUAUCAUCUCAUUAAAUACAGAUGCAGAUAAAAUAUCUUUAGUGCUGCAACAUUUUACCUAACUUUUUGUAUGUUUUCAUGACUGUGUGUUAUUUUCCAAAGCUGUUCCUACCUCAC
rnacentral:lncRNA from 1 species